UACCGUCAAGCUCCCACACGUGGGAGGGUUUCUUCCUGUAUAAAAGCAGUUUACAAUCCAUAGGACCGUCUUCCUGCACGCGGCAUGGCUGGUUCAGGCUUGCGCCCAUUGACCAAUAUUCCUCACUGCUGCCUCCCGUAG
rnacentral:rRNA from 1 species